rnacentral:rRNA from 1 species
CUACGGGCUGCACCAGUGAGGAAUUUUGCGCAAUGGGGGAAACCCUGACGCAGCAACGCCGCGUGAGCGAAGAAGGCCCUCGGGUCGUAAAGCUCUGUCAAGUGGGAAAAAAAUUUUUUGAUCAAUAGUCAAAAGACUUGAUGGUACCACUGGAGGAAGCACCGGCUAACUCCGUGCCAGCAGCCGCGGUAAUACGGAGGGUGCGAGCGUUGUUCGGAUUUACUGGGCGUAAAGAGCGUGUAGGCGGUUUAGCAAGUCAGAUGUGAAAGCCCUGGGCUCAACCCGGGAAGUGCAGUUGAAACUGCUUCACUAGAGUAUGGGAGAGGAGAUUGGAAUUCCUGGUGUAGAGGUGAAAUUCGUAGAUAUCAGGAGGAACACCCGUGGCGAAGGCGAUUCUCUGGACCAAUACUGACGCUGAGACGCGAAAGCGUGGGGAGCAAACAGGAUUAGAUACCCCUGUAGUC